GCUAUAGUUCAGCAGUAGAGCAUCUACUUUGCAUGCAUAAAGUCCCAUGUUCAAUCCCUGGCAUCUCCA